rnacentral:lncRNA from 13 species
CAUCUUGUGAAAAACUUAGCAUUAACGUACAUCCUUUCCGCGGGAAUUUAUUUCUGUUCGCACAAGGCGUUUCUGCUCCGCACACAGCAGGCCUUGCUUCCCAGGACGCCGCUCGCCCUUCCACAGCCUCCUUCACAGCGUGCAAAAUCCGACUUUAGGAACAGAAAUCGAAACGGCCACGGACCUCCCGGCGGCACGUCGGGCGCUGCCCGGGUCGGCGCGGGGUCGGGCGGCGGUGCCCGGCGGGCCACGGCGCGGGGGAGGCCCGCUCACUUCACAACGGCGGCCGGGAGCCACCGGUUGCGGCAGCCGCUAGACGCUCCUCCACCGCGCGGCGGCCGCCCGGGCCCUCCGAAGUUCCGACCGGCCGCGCGCCCGGCCCCAGCUGCGGGUUCGCGCCCCGCCCGGAGCGAGCCCGGGGGGCGGGUCCGCGGGGGCUCGGCGGGCGGAGCGCGGCGCGCGCGGGGAGGGGCGCGCGGCGGGCCCGGCGCGCCGGGGAACUUGGGCGCCAGCCACUGCCGCCGCCCGGCCACUUUCCUUUCACGCCUCCCGCGGGCUGACGCGCGCUGCGCUGCCCGCCAAGGGCUGACGGCCGCCGCCGCUCUCUGCCGCGGCGAGGCGCCCAGGCGCGUCCCUGCAGCCGGCCGGCCGGCGCGCGGGACCGCGGGACCGCGCGCGGGCGCCGCGCUCCACCCCCCCCGCCCCGCCCCCGCCCCCAACGUGCCGCCGCCGCCGCCGCCCGUUGGCGCCUCAGCCCGCGCGCCCGCCGUCGUCCGGCGGUUUUCCGUUGGCAAAGUUGCGCGGCCGCUUCGAAGGGGACGCGGUGCGGUCCCCCACCCCGGCGCCUCCGCCGCCCCUCCAGGCCGCCGCGCGGGAAGGCCCAGCCGGCGGCCCCGCUUUUUUACCUGCCGGGAGUUUUCGCGCGCGCGCUCGCUCGAUCGCUCGCUUGUCCCCCUCUCGCGCUCGUUUUCUUGCUUUCUUUCUUUUCGCUCCCCCGCGCGGGCGCUUUUUCUUCUCGCGCUACCCGCGCUCGCCCUCUCACACCCUCCUUCCUGCUGGGCUCGGCGGAGCGGGGCGGCCGGCAGCUCUCCCCGCCCCCCUCCACCCGCGCUCCGGCGGAGGCGGCGGCGGCGGCGGCGCUCCGCGCUCCGACUCAUUCCAAUAUGGCACGGACGCAGGGCGCAUGCGCCCGCGCCCCCCCACCCCCAGUUCCGCGGUCCUCCCGGCAGCCCGCGCCCCUCGCACCGCACCCGUGGAACCCCCGGGCCCGGCCGCCCCGCUCCCUCCCGGCUGGGGCCGCGCAGGAGGCGAGGACUCCCCGGGCUGGUGUUUCGGGGGUCCGGCGCCGCUGGCCACCCACACCCCCAGCCAGCAACUCGGCGCGGACGGCCCCGAGGCUGUGGCGCAGGACACGCGGCGGCGCCUCGGGCCCCCGACGGCGCGGUGGCCCCGAGCGGAACGGCCCGGAACAGGAGACGCACCCCCGGGAACCCAGUGCCUGCCCUGGCCCGGCCCCGACCCGGGAGGGAAGGAACCCCGCGCCUCACCUCGGGUUGUGGACGCUGUGGCGGGGAGCCCGGAGGGGUCCGCAGGUCGGACCUGGCGUACCUGCCGGGCAAAGCGCGCCGCUGUCACCCGCACGUGACCGGCUUGGGCAAGAUGGCAUGA